CUUCAGCCUCCAGUUGGCUGCUUUCUGCAAACAAUCAGACUGAUUGCGGGCUACAACUUCAUUUACAUGAGUGCCCUUGGUGGACAGCACCUAAGCAUGGAGACUUCAUGCAAGUUUCUGCCCAGGGUCACUAUCUAGUGAAACUGAAAGGUUUCCACAUGGAAGCACCUGACCGCCACCGCCCAGUUCAGUCUUUCAGCAACAGUUUCCUAGUAGCUCCUGGUAAUUGAGGGAAACUGACCAGGACCGCUCUUUGGCAUUCUCUGAAGACCAAGAAGCAAACAGGGAUAGAUGCCCUGCCUGGAAGGGGAAAAGACUCUUUUCUAUCCUUUCUGGUUAUACUCCCAGAACUCUACGUGUGACACAGUUGGAUGUGGCAGCUCAUCCAGGGCGAAUUCACACACG
rnacentral:lncRNA from 1 species